AGCUGCUCUUCUUGGCUGGCCUGUGCUAUGCGCGGGAAAACGUGCGUAAGUCAAGCUAAGAUUGGUUUAAUGUUUGUUCCUGAUUGAUUGUUAAAAAAGCACCUUUGUCAUGAUUGGUGAAAGAGAUGUGUUAUAUGCUAUGACCUUCAUUGCUGUGAGUUCUUCUUGUCAUCACGGUUCACCUUAGCAGUGUAGUAUACUGUAGUAACGCCGUGCUCAGUGGAGAAUUGAUCGUACCAAGAGUUUGUUUAUUUGCUUGUUUUUUGUCUCCGCAGAUCGGCUAUGAGAGACACUGGCUUCACUUUCUCAAAGAGUUCAUUGUACCUGUCAACGCCAGACUAUACCCUGGUUACAACUCUGAGGCUCGUUCCGUCAUGAACUUUGUUGUAAAGUACGAUCCUAACCGACAGUACUAUCUCAGACCACAUCAUGACUCUUCAACGUACACAAUCAACAUUGCUUUGACUAGGCCAGGGAUUGACCACGGAGGCGGGGGAUGCAGAUUUUUGCGUUACAACUGUCAAGUCACGGAAACUCGCCGAGGCUGGUCUUUCAUGCACCCAGGACGGCUCACGCAUUACCACGAAGGAUUGCCCGUGACAUGGGGAAAGCGUUACAUCAUGAUCUCUUUUGUAGACCCUUGAAAACAAGAUAUUACGCUUAUAAUAUAAAAAGAAAUUACUCCUAUUUUUAGUACGCAGAAUACAGAUGGAAUUUCCAAGCUAUUUUUGAAACUAAUUUUUACCGUGUCGCUAAAAUCUUCUUUAAGCAGCUAUUUUCUCAGUUGGUCCGCAGCAAGUAGUUUCAUGUCAAAGGAAUUAAACUGUACUUGAUGGAAGUCCAAGUCUUGAACAGAUUGGACAAGAAACAGUGCAAGGCUUAGACGCAAGGCGCACAAUUUGGCAGUCAGCAACUUUCAUCCCGUUGUUGUUAUUAAAUUUACAAAUAGGAAGUAGUGUUUGAUAUAUAAACUCAGAUUUUAUAAGAAUUGAUGUAGUUAAAUUUAAUGAUAUCCUAAUAUCAAAGUAUGUAGUAUCUCUUAGCAAUCGUCACUUCACUUGUUACGUAACGCUUCACUCGGAAAAGAGAAUAUUUCGUGACAAUGUAAGUCACGACAGGGAAAGAGACCUUCAAUAUAGUUGAUGUUAAUCAUAUAUUUGUUGUUUAAGUUCAAGAUGUUGUGAUUGAGAUAUAAUAUACGGGUAGUACUGUUGUAAACCCAUGCCCUGAUGUCUGCUGUUUGAAGCAUGUUAGAGCGGGUUGCAGGGCUUCCAUUAAGUCUCGUACCUUCUGUGAGUAUGAACGGGGUAUCGCCUGGUGCAAGAAGCUUGGAAAUGAAAAUAAACGCCUGGCAACAUUGUACUGGUGUGCUCGUUACGAUUUUAUUUUGAUUCCAGUGAGUUUGGUAACCUCGAUCCCAGGCUCUCUCUCCUCAGGCAGGCAAAGCUUACCCUAGCAACUUGUCUUGUGAUCUAGAAAUAGACUAUUUUUGAGAAUGAGUGGCGGCCUGGGGAGCGAGAAGUGAUUGUAUUAGCGCCUCUAUGUCCUUAACUGACUUGAAUCAAGGAGGAAAAUACAACCUAACCUCUUCCGAGUUUUCGGGUUAAUAGUUGGAAGCAGCACGAAAACGGCGAGAGCCCCCCAAAAAAGGCGGGGGCGAGGGGGUAUCACAUCCCGCACUUCUCCCCUAGUUUUCCGCUCGCCGUUUCUCGCGCUUCGCCCCGACUAAAUGAACACCUGGAAGAGGCUAAAUGCGAUACGAUUUCUGACUUUCUUAUUCUAACGCGGCCAGACAUCGCGUCCCCUUGAAGAGGAAUGUGGUCAAUUUUGAGAAACAUUCAAGCUGGAUUUAACUCUGACCCAAAAGUUGUAUUGGCCAUGCUUCUGAUGCGCAUUUGCGUUAGAGACUUUCAUGGUUUGGUUUUCACAGAACUACAGAAAGACUUCGAGAUCAAAUGGCAAAAUACAGCACUCCCAGAGGAUAUUACAGGAACUCCCGCACCGUACCGCUAGGCUACAAAUUCCCAGCUCAAUUUAGGGCAGUACAUGUACCUGACUUCAAGGCGCAAAGAGCAAUCCUGUACAUGAAUACAGCCUGAGCGUCAGAUAGCCCUUUCACAAGGCCUGAUGUGUUGGAGGAGUAGAUAAGGGUGAUUAUCUUCUGGUCGUGUCGUUCCCUGACCAUUCUCUUGUUCUUUUUCCUUGAAUAAGGGAUAGAGGGAUAAAAUAGGGUAUAAAUAUUUCUUCCCCGGUUUUAGUUAAAGGUAUUUUCUCUCACCCGGGAUGUAGCUUGAACGCAUCUAAAACUGGUGAGGUAUAAUUUUCUACUUGUUCUGCACGAAAUUCUACACGGAUAUUCCAAACAAAAUUAAACUCCAGCCUUCAGUCUUGGGGUUAUUUUUUUCCCUACCGUGAGAUCCCAAUCAUUCUCUAUUGCCCCAUAAUUCACUCUGUUUGCCUCCCAAAUUUUGCAUAAACUAUUGUUAUGAAAUGCUCUUGGAAAUAUGCAGACCUAUUAAGAGUAUUUCACAACAAUAGUUUGUGCAAUAUUUGGGGGGCAAACAGAGUGAAUUAUGGGCAAUUGGAAAAUAGAGAAUGACCCCUUUGAACAGCCCCCGCGGCUGCCCCUGAACCGCCCCUGCGGGGUCUGGUAAUCUCGUUACCAGCCCUGUAGUGGACAAAGCCGAAGGCGAGACUUGAAACACCAAACAACAGCAGACACAACAACCUUCAAGGAACUUCAAAGACUAACAAAAGGCGCCCACGGAAGGACUGUGGGGAUUUUAUCAACACAGAAUGAACUAUCAAGCUGCCCUAUGUUACUUUCUCCUACUUUUGUGUCCACCAAGUCAUCAAAGAACGCCAACACUGACCCGAAGAUUUCACGAUGGCGACAAACAAGUGUUGAUUUUCGACAAACUUUUUCCCACUGACGUUGUCCGCUCGUACUAUGACCUUGUGACUACGGGAAGCGUUCCGGGAAACAUUUCUUCGUGGUUUUAUACGUACAGUGAUUAUUAUCAGGACAUUGGCACUCUUAAUACAUCGAGUAAUUCACCGUGGAUUGCACCUGUAAAUCCUCAGUUUUUCUCCAACACUGCGUUGUGGAAGAUCAGCCGAAAAGUUGUAGAAAAAUUGUCAGGUGGCAAAGAAUAUUUUCCAUACGAUGUUUCUUUCUCAAUGCAUCGGAGACUGGAUUUUAUUACUGCUACUAGUAAAGGCCUGCUUGCUUGAA
rnacentral:lncRNA from 1 species